GACGAACGCUGGCGGCGUGCCUAAUACAUGCAAGUAGAACGCUGAAGAGAGGAGCUUGCUCUUCUUGGAUGAGUUGCGAACGGGUGAGUAACGCGUAGGUAACCUGCCUGGUAGCGGGGGAUAACUAUUGGAAACGAUAGCUAAUACCGCAUAAAAUUGAUUAUUGCAUGAUAAUUAAUUGAAAGAUGCAACUGCAUCACUACCAGAUGGACCUGCGUUGUAUUAGCUAGUUGGUGAGGUAACGGCUCACCAAGGCGACGAUACAUAGCCGACCUGAGAGGGUGAUCGGCCACACUGGGACUGAGACACGGCCCAGACUCCUACAGGAGGCAGCAGUAGGGAAUCUUCGGCAAUGGGGGGAACCCUGACCGAGCAACGCCGCGGGAGUGAAGAAGGUUUUCGGAUCGUAAAGCUCUGUUGUAAGAGAAGAACGGGUGUGAGAGUGGAAAGUUCACACUGUGACGGUAUCUUACCAGAAAGGGACGGCUAACUACGUG
rnacentral:rRNA from 1 species